UCGCUCUCUCUCUCUCUCUCUCUCUCUGUCUCUCUGUCUCUCUCUCUCUCUCUCCAUAUAUAUCAAUGGAUGAAUGGAAGUAACUUAACCGAAUUAAUUUAACCCUAAAUGUAUCCACUGUUUAAUCCUAAAAUGUGCACUAACGUAACCGGAUAACGUUACAUCACUUACAUAGAUCGUGAAAAUGGACUGAAACCUUCAGGUUUUGAUCUUUCAUGGUAAACACAUAAAUACAAACUUGUUCUGUGAUUUCAGAAGUGCCAGAAAAAAACCUCUAUGACGCAGGAGAAGUUCCUGAUUUUAACAUUUCUGAAGGGAGCUGCUGACAGAGAGGAUGAAAACAUACACAUUUUGAUGUCCACGCUGUAGGAGCAUUACUAAAUAAUGCUUAUGUUCCUAGGUUCUUCCAUGCUGAUGGCUGUGCUCUAGAGUCAUAUCUCCUGUCGAAGAACAUUUUUAGACAUUAUGAACCAUGAAUAAGUUUAGCUCCAACCCCAGUUAAGCAGACCUGAGCAGCUGAUCAAGGAUCAGCAGAAACUCUGCAGAACGGUGGUCCUUCAGCCCAGGACUGGACACCAGUGUUAGUGUCUGUCUCAGAAGCUGAAGAAAAAAGGUCACACCUUAUAGGAAAUAAACGCCCCCUAAGUGUACGGAAAUACCUGGAUGAGGAGAUCAGUGAAAUAAACCAGAUAAAACUGUCAGUGGUCUGAGACAGCUACAAGCCACAAAAACAGUUCAUAGUUCCUGCAUUUCUAUAAUGCAUUAAUGAAUAACAAUAAUUAAAAUAAAAUGUAAUGUCAAGGUUUUGUGUUAAUUCCAGCUAUGUUGAGUAUUCUGUGAAUAAUUUUGAUUUUAGGUGCAUAUUCUUAAUUCUUUGCAAAACAACCUGAACUGUUUGCUAUUGAAAGGUUGGUAUGAAGUUUAAAUAAAUAAAAACAUUAUAUUCUUGACAAAACCUGUGUACAGUUUGUAUUAAUAAUUUAAAUUAUUUACUUAUAUUAAUUAAUGGCCUAAUUACCAGCUAUCAGUUAAACAUUCAAAUCAGAACCAAUAUAAAAGUGCAACGAAAACUAUUAAAUAUAUGCAAAUAAAGACCAGUACAAACUUGCAAUGGAACCAUCAGAACCAUUACAAAACUGACGGAAACCAUUAAAUUUGUUUUAAUAAAGACCAAUACAAACUUGUAAUGGAACCAUCAGAACCAUUACAAAACCAACAGAAACCAUUACAAAACCAACAGAAACCAUUAAAUUUGUUUUAAUAAAGACCAAUACAAACUUGUAAUGGAACCAUCAGAACCAUUACAAAACCAACAGAAACCAUUACAAAACCAACAGAAACCAUUAAAUUUGU